GAUGAACGCUGGCGGCGUGCCUAAUACAUGCAAGUCGAACGGGAGGUAGCAAUACCUCUAGUGGCGAACGGGUGAGUAACGCGUUGGUGACCUGCCCCGAAGCGUGGGAUACCAGUCCGAAAGGACUGUUAAUACCGCAUGUGGUUGUGAGGAUUAGAGGCCUUGCAACAAAAGGAGAACUUCACUUCGGGAGGGGCCUGCGUCCCAUCAGCUAGUUGGUAAGGUAACGGCUUACCAAGGCGAUGACGGGUAGGGGACCUGAGAGGGUGAUCCCCCACAAUGGAACUGAAACACGGUCCAUACACCUACGGGUGGCAGCAGUAGGGAAUAUUGCAAAAUGGGCGCAAGCCCGAUGCAGCAACGCCGCGUGGGCGAUGAAGGCCUUCGGGUCGUAAAGCCCUUUUUGAGGGGAUGAGGAAGGACAGUACCCUCAGAAUAAGCCUCGGCUAACUACGUG
rnacentral:rRNA from 1 species